rnacentral:tRNA from 1 species
GGGGGUAUAGCUCAGCUUGGAGAGCGCUUGCAUGGCAUGCAAGAGGUCGGCGGUUCGAUCCCGCCUAGCUCCACCA